GAGCCACACCACUUAUUUUACCGAGAAAACGUCAUGAGAAGAAGGUAGCUGAGAGGUUAAAGAGAGGACUCUGAGUCGCCAUGAGGUAUCCACUGUCGGCUGUGGCCACGCGUCUAGUGCAGAGGGCACGAAGGGCAGGGCUUGGAGCUCUUAGGCCUCAAAAGGCCGCCGGGAGGCCAGUGCACCUCCUGCCUGGGCUGGGAGCUGCUGGCUGCUGUGCGGGGCACCGGCAAGGGCCGACGUCACAAAGAGGUCGCAGACGUCACAAAGAGGUCGCUUCCUUCACACCGACUUCACGGAGAGGUCGCUUCCUUCACACCGACUUCACAAAGAGUUCGCUUCCGCACGUGCAGGACUCAGCAGCAAGGGCGUGGGACGCGCAGGCGCCGGGAGCCCACAGGGUGGAGACCGGAGCGAGCCCGCCCUUCUCCAGCCGCGCGGCCUUUCAUUCGCGCCCCCUAUCGGCAGGGCCAGCGGGGCCGCAGAAGCGUGGCUCGCAGGGCCCAGCCGCAUGCACCGAGCUGAGCGCGCGCUGGCCUGUGUGGAGCCCAGGCAAGAACGGAGUAAUUGAUACAGAAGAGGCUUUGCGUUUUCAGGAAUGCACUGUCCCCUUUCCAGGAGCUCUGCAAGGGAGCAGGAAUGCCAGAAAGUAGCCUGUGCAGAGGCAGGAGAAUGGGAGUCCGCCACAGACUGUCUCUUUCCCCCCCCGGCCAGAGUCUCAUCCAGCCCUGGGGAAGGAAGACACCUGGUGGCAAUCAUGCACCCCACCACCUGUCCAGAUCUUAGCUCGUGGCGUCACCCCUGAGGCUGGAACAGUCUCUGAAGAGGGACUGCACAGUUCCACGGGGAACUGUGGAGGAAAACACAGGCCUGGCCUGCCAGCAAGGGAGCAAAGGGGCAGGGGAGUCCCAGAAAACGCUCUGGUCAGUAGACGCUUGAAGAUAAAACUCCGCCAUAGAAGGGUCCUCCAUACAAACAGGUAGAGCAAAAUGGACCACAUCUGCAAUAAAACUAGGUAGCAAGUUUUAUCCACAAGCCUCAAGAUGAAAGCUAUUGGGGACAAAUUCCCUAUAGCUAAGUCCAUGUGGCACCAGCAUCUGGAAGGAGUAAGCCGAGGGAAGCAACACAAUAUCUUAUAGAUCUGAGAGCAGAAGACUCAAAGCACUCCUGGAUAAUUACUGGACAGUAGUGGGCUUAUUUGUAAACAGCAGAUGAAAUAGGGAAAACAUUUUUCAUUUCCGUUCACAUGUGAAUGCAAAGAGUUUAAAGAAGUGUUCACUCUUGGUGUGAUAUAUUCCAUGGGUUUUGACAAAGGUAUAAUGACAUCUAUCCACCAUUAUAAUAUUGUACACAAUAGUUUCAUUGCCUUAAAGUUCCUCUGUGCUCUGCUUGUUUAUACCUCUCUUCCAGCUGCCUCUGCAACCACUAAUCUUUCUACUAUCUCUGUGGUUUUGCUUUUCCCAAUAUGUCUUAUAGUUGGAGUCACAGAGUAUGUAGCCU
rnacentral:lncRNA from 1 species